rnacentral:tRNA from 1 species
GAUAAAUAAGAUUUUUUACACUAAUCCAAGAGCUAAUUAAAUUAAGCCUAGUUUAAA